AGCAGCCGCGGUAAUUCCAGCUCCAAUAGCGUAUAUUAAAGUUGUUGCAGUUAAAAGCUCGUAGUUGAAUUUCGGGAUUGACACAUCGGUCGUGCCUUAAGGGGUAUGAACUGGUGUAGUCAAUUUCUCACCUUCUGGAGAACCGCAAUGCCCUUAAUUGGGUGUCGCGGGGAACCAGGACCUUUACUUUGAAAAAAUUUAGAGUGUUUAAAGCAGGCAUUUUGCUUGAAUACAUUAGCAUGGAAUAAUAAAAUAGGACGGCAUGAUUCUAUUUUGUUGGUUUCUAGGAUCACCGUAAUGAUUAAUAGGGAUAGUUGGGGGCAUUAGUAUUCAAUUGUCAGAGGUGAAAUUCUUGGAUUUAUUGAAGACUAACUACUGCGAAAGCAUUUGCCAAGGAUGUUUUCAUUAAUCAAGAACGAAAGUUAGGGGAUCGAAGACGAUCAGAUACCGUCGUAGUCUUAACCAUAAACUAUGCCGACUAGGAAUCAGACGAUGUUAAUUUUUUCAAUGACUCGUUUGG
rnacentral:rRNA from 1 species